GACAGAGGACGCGGGUGUUAUUCGUUUUGAUUGGGAGUAAAGGGUACGUAGGUGGUUUCAGUGUAAGUCUUCUGCUGUUUGGCCAAAAGUGCGGGGUGUUCCCUUGCGAUGGCCUUCACGAGCUGAUCCUAGAGUUGUGAUAAGGUUGGGGCAAUUUUCUACGGUAGGGGUAGAAUCCUUAGAUGUAGGAAGGAACAACAACUGGCGGAGGCACCUUUCCCGGCACAACUGACGCUGAGGUACGGAAGCGUGGGUAUCAAACAGG
rnacentral:rRNA from 1 species